rnacentral:lncRNA from 1 species
CGGCGGCGGUGCAGCUCCAGUGACGACGGUGCAUGGCGGGACAGCGUUCCUCUCUUCCUCGAGCUCUCCCUCUCACUGGCGCUCAAGGACGACGGCGACGGUGGCUUCAAUGGCGGCGGUUGCAGCUCGCGACGACAGAGACGCUCCUCCGCGACGGUGCAGUUGGCAACGAUGGGCAUGAACGGCAGCAGCGACCUCCCUCUCUUCUCCGCAUCAGUGUAGGUGCGUGUGUGUGGGGAUGAGCGACGGCGUGAGGGUGAGCGAGGGGAGUGCGUCCGUGAGUGUGUGUUUCUACGAAGAGGGUGUGUGAGGAGCGGGGGUGGGAGUUCGACGGCUAGUGAGGGACUGAGGGUUGAGAGAGAGUGUUUUUGUGUGAUUAGGGUUAGGGAAAAAGUAAAGGAAGAGUGGCCCACAAAUUUGUGUUUUUUUUUUGAGCUAUUACAUUCUUCCCUCCUUUAGAAAUUCGGUCCCCGAAUUUCAAACCAACUUACUAUUUAUUUUGCCUCUUCGGCAGUACAAGUCACAUCUAUUUCGUACAACUAGACCCUGAUGCAAGAAAUGAUGCAUUUAGGAAUAAGGAAAGAAAACAACAUUGAGACAACCUUAUCCGAAAGAAGUAUGACCACAUCAUGACACCAUAAGUUUAAUAAUUUGCACAAAUAGAUAGCAAGAAUAAGGCUAAAAAUCAAGCUAUCUGAGCAAAGUUGCAGGAAAGAACUUAAGCACUUUAACUAUACAAUAUUAUAUCCAGAUACAAAUUGAACCCAAUGCAUAAAGAAAAACUUUUUGCAGAUAUUAUGCAACGAUCAAAUGCUGUACAUUUUCUUAAUAUUCACAUAUACAAUGUAACAAAAGGAAUCGAUAUGAAGCACCAUCAAUCACAAAGAACAAAUUGCAUAAUUAGAAUGAUAUGAAAAAUUUCAAAAGCACACUACAAACUCUAAUUGGAGUUCAAAUAACAUAGCCAAAAGUGUAAAACAUAUAGAGUAACACAAAUUCCAACAAUACACCCAAAACAUAAAGCAAUAAUUAAAAAGCACAGUUAUAUGAGAUUCCAAGAGUUCGAGUUCAAUUAUGUGGUGGAUAAGGAUGAGAAAAAAGAGAGGCAAGGUGAAGAAUUAAGCAUAAUAUAUAUGGCCAGAUUCUAGAUUUAGAGACAAAUAUAACCACCACAUCAAACCAAGCAUGCAAGAUAUAGCCAUCAAAACAUUUUCAAAUCAUAUUAUGCAUAUUAACCUUAAAUGUCAAGUGAUAAGAGGUAGGAAGGUUAAACAGAAGGAAGGAAUUUAAUCGAUCUACAAGGCUCUUUAAGGGCAUUGUGAAAGCAGCAUAUUAGUAUGAAUAGUUUCGCUUACUCAAACAUAGCAUUGUUCCUAGCCAUCCUUUAGGUUAGCAAUCGACAAUCCCAAAUAAUAAACUAACAAAUGUGCUACAUAUACACCAAUUGAUAAACAAACAAAAUGCCAUUAGUUGGGAAACAAUACCACUAAUCUAGCAAAGUUUUGAAUUUCAUUACUCAACCACCAUUACAAUGCAGCGCACUCAAGGAGUAAUAGAACCACGGAUUUAGUGAAGCUCAAGAAUAUCGACAGGCGACAACAUAUUUCAAUUAGUUGCAAUCAUGAGCAACUUGAAACCAGCAAAGUGAUGUCUCAAAAAAAGUCAUACAACAUAGGAUCAGUUAAGCAGCAGACUAAUGAAUCAAUGUGACUGCCUCAAAAAUUUGAUCAUGUUAAGAACUUUGCAAAGCCUAUAUAUCUUUGGAAGAAAAAUGGUUGAUACAACCAUUUAAAAUAAAUUUUACUUAGAUCAUGAUGUGCAAAUUUAAAGAAUAAUAGUACAACUGAUAAUCAAACCCUUAACGUAUGAAGAAAUGUCAACCUACGAUGUGGGCUAUGAACUAAGGCAAAAUACUAGUAGUAAAACAGUUGAUUUUCAGAAUUUCUAACAGACAAUAUUCAAAAUACACUGUGAUUGUUACCAAGGAAAAAUUUGGCCAAAAAGAAACAACUUAACACAAAACCCUCAAUGCAGAGACUCUUUAAUCAAUUAAAAUCUUUAUUGGGCAAACAAAGUAGAAUCCGCGACAUAGUUAGAUAAUCAACAAAACCAUGGGGUAAUAGAAAAUAUUGAUUCUGCAAAUGAAACAAAAUCAGAAAAAGAACCCCCCCUUUUUUUUUUUUGAAACCAUCAGUAAGAAAGAGUAACUUAAUACAAAGCCAGCUACUAAAUAUCACCAAAAUUCAAAACUAUAUAACAAAAACAACAAUCCUAUUAGCCAAGAUAAUCCAGCCAAAAGUACAAAACUAAUUUAUCUCACUGCCUUUCACUAUUAAAACAAAUGAAUCAAAGCUCAACAGGCUGUAAAAGGACAAGCUGAUAAAUUUAUUACACUAGAGCACAUAGUCUGUAAUCACACAAUCACCAGAAGCAUAUAAAGCAUCUGCACCCAAUAAGCAAUGAUAGAUCUGAAUCAAACAUCCAUUCGCAAUUCAAUUCAUUUCACAACCAUCAUUUGAGAAAAUUAUAUAGUAACAAAAAUAGUUUAUUGACAAAAACAUUUAUGAUGCUUGGCAUUACUUAAAAACCAAAGAAAUCGUCGGUGUGUCACUACAAAGUAACACAACACAGCUUUCAAAAUACGUACAAAAAUAUAAUUGUAACUUUGUAAGGGCAAAGGCCAUAGAGGUAAAUAAAAAGAUGUACCACCACAACUAAAACCACGGGCUAGGAGCAUUUUAAGGGAAAAAAAAUAAAAAAAAACAAGCCAAAUCCACAAACAAUUUGGGCAGAGCAAAAUAAAAAUUCACGAGUAUGAAUAAUAGACAUAAAAAAGGUUUUGCAUGUACAACAACCAUUUAAACUAGAGAAAAGGGAAGAAAAAAAAACAUAAUUAGACACGGCAUGUGAACAGAUAAGCUAAACCCAUAAAUAAAGCAAAGCAAAAUGAACAUUCAUCAGAAAAUUGUAAAAAAUGUGCCACUCUAAAGAUAGAAACACGAUAAUCCUAUAUAUAAGAAACCGUCACAUAACACAGAUUAUAUGAUAAGCACAAUACUUGAUAGUUUUGACAUGUUAAAAAUUAAUUAGGUUUUUUUUUUUUUAAAAACAAUGUAGAAAAAAGAAAAAUAAACAAGGCAAGGUCAUUAAACAUUUUUUUAUUGAGAAUGUGAAUGCAAUACUAAACAUUUUUACAUAAAUCUUAUAGUGCUGACUAGAGUAACUAACUUUUACGUUAAGCAUCAUAUAAUGGACCACCAAUGAGAUAAUAUUGAGUAAACUUUAGAACAACAUGCGGAGAGAGUUGGAACAACUUUCCUAGUCAAUAAAAUAAUUAAUUUUGAAGGGAAAAAAUUCAGAUGCUCAAGUGUGUCGCAAAAGUAUUGUACAGAUCACAAGUUUAUCAUGACAAACUUCAAUUCGAAAUUAUCAAGUCCUCAUCGUAUCAAAGAAAUCAAAACAUUUAUUAAUCCGCCAUAUAUAACUACAAAUCAGGCAUAUAAUCUCCAACAACAACACAAGCAAUUAAGAGGGUUUAUUACCGCCUUUCAAUAGAAAUUUUUACAAGAUAAUAACCAAGAUUACCUAGUUACAGUCACAUCAGUCACCAAUUCAGCAACAAAUAAUAAGAUUAACUCCUAUACAGCAGCAAAAAACUAAUAACCUUAUGGAUCUCUCAAAUAAUUAACCAAAAUCAUUUACUUGUUAAUUACUGUAAUAAUCACUAAUCAAAUGACAUGAAUCAGCAAACAAGUAUCUAAUCAGUGGCUACCACUCAUAAGCAAGCUACAAUUUAUCACAUUUAAAAUAAUCAUCAAAUUCUUCAUAAUCACCAUGAUCAGUCCACAAGCUCAGCAAACAAGCCUAUAAAAUUAGAAAUCACAUAUAAUCUAAGAGACGUAUUCACUUAAUAACAUAUAAACAAGAAGAUUCUACCUGAGUGAAGCUCAAAUGUGUUUUUCAUACAACCAGUUAUACUAAGUAUAGAACUUUAGCACUCAAUUUGGUUAACAUCCAAAUAUUAAUAUCAACUAUGGAAAUUUCAAUGAUCUUGGACAAAGACAAAACUUUCUCAAAGAAACUCAUGCUGUGGAUUUAGUCUCUUUAAAAUCAAUUAUCUAUCAUCCGUAUUAUAGUUAGCAAACUUAUUUAACAUUUGUUUAACUAGAAACUAAAUAAACACACAUUUCAAACGGAUCAUAACAAUUAAAGAUCGAACAGAACCUAAAAGAAUAUAAUGAUUUAAUGUCUUAAAGUAGAUGAAAGUGGGACUAAAUAUCAAUUCAUAUUAUGUACCAUUACUCAAAACAUUCUAUUUCGAUGAAAAAAUUUCACAAACUUUAAAUCUAUUAGAGAAUAAGUCGAGAUUGGGUACAAAGGGAAGGAAAAGAGUCGCAAGAAGCGGCAGGAAAGGAAAAAGUAGCAAGAAGAGGCUGGAAAGGAAAAGAGUGGCAAGAAACGGCAGAGGCCAUAUGUUACAACCAGAUGACAACAACGACAUAAAGGACAAGAAUGACAAUCCUAUAGGCCUCUGAUAGUGCCACAAUUCGUACAAAUAGGCGCGCUUCUAUUUAUACAAUUGUGAUCCUACCAUAGGACACUUGCUCCAUAUUACACAGAUUAAACCUAAGCUCUUAUACCACUCUGUCACAACCCAAAAUGAGUCAUGACUGGCGCUCAGGAAAAUAAUCCUAUAGCAAGCCUAACAUAGUCAAAUAUAUGUUCAAUAAGCAAGUACAUAUAUUUUACAAGUUCUAAAAUAAAUAGUUAUAUAUUUUUAACAAAAAAAUAAAUAAAUAAAAUAAAAUAACUAAGAAUGGUUGGUCCUACCUGUGACAUAUGGAGCAUAUACUUCUAGGAAUUGACAAAGAAUAGGUACUCAUUGCAGACNNNNNNNNNNNNNNNNNNNNNNNNNNNNNNNNNNNNNNNNNNNNNNNNNNNNNNNNNNNNNNNNNNNNNNNNNNNNNNNNNNNNNNNNNNNNNNNNNNNNNNNNNNNNNNNNNUCCUGCUAGCUGGAGUCUGAGUUAGAUGCAUCUAAGUUAACGUCAUAACCGCCGUUAACUACGGUUUUCUAAUACGAGCCUCCCAAACCAAUUCAAAAUAUAUAAUUUCAAAUACAACAAAUAUUUGAUCUUUCAAAUAUAUAAGGUAUCGAAUCAAAUCAUAUCAAAUCAAAUCAAAUAAUACUUUUUCAUCAGAAAUCUUUUCUCAAUCAUACUUUUUUAACCAUAAGAGAUUUCAAAUAUAUUUCACAAUUUUUAAAGUGAGUAUCAACAAAUACUUCAAUGCUUAAAAAACAAAUAUUCAAAUAAAAUCAAACAUUUUAGAAUAAUGCAAAACUUCCUCAAAAAUAUAUAUAGUCUCAUGUAUAGUUUCAAAAGUAUAAACUUCAUAAACAAACCCAGAGUGCCAAAUUCAAGGUAAGGAGGAUUGAAGUGGAAUGGAACGAAUGAGCGUAGAAUUUGAAUCGGAGUAGCGACAAGAUAGAGCUGGUUAUAGUUCUCGAUUGUUGAAACUAUAAUCCAAAUGCACCGACGGAACCUUUCCUCUCAACCCGAAAUUGCGGCAGCCACAACCUCAGCUCCAAAUCACUUUCUCAGCAACUACAACGACUCAGACUUAAGGGAAACAAGUAGCGGCAGCACCGGUGGUGGUUCCGGCAACAACAGCACCAUACCCAUUGACCAGAAACCCCGACAGCGGCGGCGGCAGAAGAACGGCGACCUCAAUGUGACUUCCCAGCGGCCAGAGGUGCAGUGGCUCUUGCGGCAGCGGCGAGCCACUCCAACAACCCCUUGUGCAAGCUCUCUUCCUCCGGCAGCGACCUAGACGGCGACGACUCUCCACGGACGGCGGUGGGUCCUCGGCGGCGGUGCAGCUCCAGUGACGGCGGUGCAUGGCGGGAUAGCGUUCCUCUCUUCCUCGAGCUCUCCCUCUCACUGGCGCUCAAGGACAACGGCGAGGGUGGCUUCAAUGGCGGCGGUUGCAGCUCGCGACGACAGAGACGCUCCUCUGCGACGGUGCAGUUGGCAACGAUGGGCAUGAACGGCAGCAGCGACCUCCCUCUCUUCUCCGCGUCAGUGUAGGUGCGUGUGUGUGGGGAUGAGCGACGGCGUGAGGGUGAGUGAGGGGAGUGCGUCCGUGAGUGUGUGUUUCU